rnacentral:rRNA from 1 species
CAGUCGCCACGGUAAUACGGAGGGCGCGAGCGUUACCCGGAUUUACUGGGCGUAAAGGGCGUGUAGGCGGCCUGGGGCGUCCCAUGUGAAAGGCCACGGCUCAACCGUGGAGGAGCGUGGGAUACGCUCAGGCUAGAGGGUGGGAGAGGGUGGUGGAAUUCCCGGAGUAGCGGUGAAAUGCGCAGAUACCGGGAGGAACGCCGAUGGCGAAGGCAGCCACCUGGUCCACUUCUGACGCUGAGGCACGAAAGCGUGGGGAGCAAACAGGAUUAGAUACCCGGGUAGUCCCUGUCUCUUAUAC